rnacentral:lncRNA from 1 species
UUACACGGACGGGUAGAGGAUCGCCGAAGAAGGUCGGUAGUGUACGAAGAACUGAAUUCUGAAAACUGGAAUACGGGAUGGAGAAAUCAAUGAGGUGCAAUCGCCUGUUUCCCAUCAAAGCAUUCUUUUCCAUUAAAGCAUCAUGGAUGACAUUCUCUAUGACGCCAUUAAUAAGGUAGCUGCCACAAUGAUAAUAUGGUGAAGGAUCCACCGGGAAAGUGAAGUAGGAAGAAGCGGGAUGCAGUCCGUAGGCUCGGCGAACCAGAGCGUCCGCAAAGUAUUUCACCACUCUGCUUUUAUAUAGGUAGGGUCUCUCAUCAGCAAGAAUCAAGAUGUUGUGAAGGAACGCAUCGGCGCUUUUCAGAUCCCCAUCUUCAAUAGCUUUAGCGCAGGAUAGUAACAAUCUCAAGGCGGUGUCGGUGUCGGUAUCAAAAACAGAAGAAGCCAUGAAAGAAGGUGAGAUUCAACAGAGUUUGGGUAAAGCAGAAGAGAAAUAUGGUAGAAAAGUAAGUGAAAGCAGCAAUGAUUGAUAUGUAUAAUUCAGGAAAAGCAAAAGCAGUAGGAAAAGCUUGUCGUGACGCGGAAUAUUCACUGUUUCUACUUUGACUUUUCUUUUUGCUUCCUACAAUUUACCUGCCUGCAAAUUAAGUAAUAUCUCCUUUUUCCUUUCAUUAUUUUCAUUUUUGAGACUUACAGAAUCAGAUCAACCAGUUAUUACGCGUUGAUUUUAAUAUUUAAACAUUAACACGAUGUGUUGUCACAAACCAACUUCAACAUUAACAUUCCCAAUGUAUAAUGCAUAAGAAUAUCGAAUGUCAAAUAUGUUCAUACAUUUCCCAAUCUAUCUAUCUAUCACUAAUUAAUUAAUAUUUGUUUCCCAAUCUAUCUAUCUAUCACUAAUUAAUUAAUAUUUGUUUUACUUUUGGAUCAUGUGAUAAUAUUGUAUUUUAAAAUUGUGUCACGUUAUUGUCUAAAUUUUUUAAAAAAUAUAUAUUUUCAGUGAUUUACAUGAAUUUAAAAAAAGUUAUCACGUUUUUUUUUGCGUGAAAAAUAAAACAAAACAUAACAAAACUAACUACCUAAAAUUUUAAUAAUCACUUAUCCUAUCAUUCCAAGGCUUGCUUAGAAAAACAUCACACUUUAAAUUGUCUCCUCUGGACAAUUCUAAAUUAUGCACUAUGUUGUAUUGUUUUGUCCAACUCACUAAAAUCUUAAUAGUUCCCUGAAAUUCCAAGGUAGACCUUGGAACACAAAGAGAUUUUUAUUUUUUUCAUAUGCGUCAUACUAACAAACCAAAAAGAGUAGACCAAGUCACCCUUUUCCCUAACGUCCAUCCAGAAUUUUCCAGGUUUGUUCUGACCCAAUUUGAGAGGUUCCAAAAAAAAAAAAGAAGAACAAUUGGCGACUUCUUGGCACAAAGUACUUUAAAAUAUUUUUAGUAUCCGGGCAAUCCCUAAAGAUAUGUAAGAUACCUUCUAUCUCGUGGUGGCAAACUGGGCAGGACAUACUUUGUCCAAUGCCCGUUCAUACACAUUCUCGAUUAGUAAGCAGUCUUUGUCUGCAAACGAGCCAUAAGUAGAAGCAAACAUGAUGCGGUCCUUGAUACUUCCAGACGGCUUUCCACUUAGAAUCUCUUGCAUCCCACGUAUCUAAUUUUAACAUAUGAUAUGCAUUUCUUAUCGAAAAUCCUCCAUUUGUUGUAUGUAUCUAAAAGAUUCUAUCAAAGCCAGCUAAAGGGCGUGGUGGAGAGAUACUUGCGAUCCUUUUGACAACUUCUUUCAACAGUCGGUCCUUAAAAGCUUCCAUAUUGCAUGCUCUAUCCUCUAUCACCAUAUCUCUAAGAAAAUAGUCUGUGAUCGGCCUAUCCGUGGUAGAGACAUACAUUUUCAACGGUCCUACUUUUGAGAUCCAAGAAUUCUCCCAACAGCAAACCAAGAUUCCUAUUCCAAUGUCCCAACCCAAAUUUUCUUUCAGUAAUGGCCAUAGUUUUGUGAUCCCUCUCCAAAUAGUUGAACAACUUCCUCUUUUGAUAUCUUCAAGGAUUCUUUCUUUUAUCCUUAUGGUCUUAUUUAGUUUUAUUAUUAUUACUAUUUUUUUAACUCCACUAUUCUUCCCCCCAACUCUCUAGGCUACUAUGGUCUAAUCUAAACCCCAAAGCUUCGGCUCCGCUUGUUGUUGCUCUUGUCGAAAGCCUGGGUGUAACACCUCAAACCCAUAUUCAUCGCCGAAACAGGGUUACGGAGCAUCACCGGAGUUUACAGAACAAUUACACAAUUUACCAAAGCUGUCCUCUUGACUCACAAUCACUAAAUUAUUUUUAUCUGGAGCUACGGAUCUCCAAAUUAAGAUUCGUUAAUUUUUCCUGAAACUAGAUUCACAUAUAUACUUGCCAUAAAAUAUACAGAAUUUUUGGUUUAGCCAAUAAGUAUAGUUUAUUCUUUAAAGUCAUCUCUAUUCUGCUAUUUGACAGUUCUGACCCUUCUUCACUAAAAAUUAAUUAUCUCAUAGUACAAGACUCGGAUAAUAUUCCUAUCUAUUUCUCUUGAAAAUAGAUUCAUUAAGAAUUUCAAGCAUAUAAAGUAUAACCAAUAAUUAUUUUUUCACAAUUUAUAAUGAUUUUCUCAAGUCAAGACAAGGGAUUUCGAAAAUUACUCUGUCUCACAUCAACUUAAAUAUCUCCUAAUAUAAAAUGCAAUUUCAUGCAUCAUUUCUUCUAUGUGAAACUAGACUCAUUAAGCUUUAAUUUCAUAUCUAAUUAAAUUUCAAAAAUUUUUGAUGAAUUUUCAAAGUCAGACUACUGCUACUGUCCAAAACUAUUUUAGUAUAAAAUGUUAAUAAUCAAGUUUAUAACAACUUCAUUUCCUUUCUUUACAAUAUUUCUCAUAUAAACCUCAACAUCCAAGUGGCAUUUAUCAUGCAUUCAAAGCCAACCAAUAUCAAUCAUAUAUCAUCUCAUACUAGCACACAUAACCAUGAUGAUACAUAUAUCAAUAUGACGAGGCCGUUUACUUAUAUAUACACAACAACAUUUAUCAAAAAAAAAAGCCAAAUCAAAUGGCUAAAUACUUGACCAAAUCAUGUAGGCUACAUUAGCCCAACAACCUAUACAAUGCCAUUAUAACCCAAAAAUAAUAAACCAUGAGUACCAAAAUAGCCAAUAGAUAGUGUGAUGAUGUCUCUGACUCUUCCAACUGCGCGAACUUCCGAUAUCUAGAUACACAAAGAAUUUUAAAACGACGUAAGUAUAAAAUGCUUAGUAAGUUUGUAAUUCAAAGAAGUAAAGCCUAUAACUUCAAUUUAUAAGCAUAAUUUAUUUAAGUCACUCCAACAUGCCUUGGCCUUAGCCUAACCAACAUUAGCCUUUCAAUUUUAAACAUCACAUGAACUAGCAAAUUAUUACAAAACAUUAUGACAUAAGUUUACAUUACUUAUGUGCAUUCACAUAUCAACCAUAUAGCUAAAUAUAUUUUAAUCAUCCAAAAACUCAUUCUUCUCCAUUCUUUCAAUAGCAAUUCAAAUUGAAGAAUUUUUCAAUCUUUACCUUUUUCUCAUAUCCAUUGAACCACAAUUUAAAUGAAUAAACAUAUCAUAAUAUAACUCAUAUUGUUCCACCAACCUAUCAUACAUUCAUUCACAAGGUUAGCUACGAAAUUCACAAAUUUCAUCAAUUCAAUGCUUGUACAGUUCUUGUACAUACCUGUACCAUCUCGUACCAAUUUCAUACUCAUCCAUAUUUUUGAUAUACCCAUUGAACCAUUUGGAAUAAAUAUUGGAUACUCGGGAAUCUUGCACACUAAGUGCUAAUAUCAUGGCUCGAAGCCAAAUCAAUGUAACUUUAAUGACAUGCCCUUUGUAUCUUAAUUUAUUCCUAAGGUUCAACUGGGUUUUCCAAUGCUAAAUUUUCAUAAAAUACUUCCGUACAAUCAUAAUCAUCAACAAUUCAAAUAUACAGCAUUAAAUCUCAAUUAUAAUAAUGUUUAUUAACAAGCUCAUACAUCCAUGUACAUACCUGUACCGAUCCAUAACAAAAUCAUACUUACACGAAAUGUCGCUGCACAAUCGAUGUCUUGCACGCUAAGUGCUAUACCGGAUGUUUCGCACACUAAGUGCCAUCCUCGAUACUUCGUACACUAAGUGCCAUUUCGGAUGUUUCGCACACUAAGUGUCAUCAUCAAUACUUCGUAUACUAAGUGCCAUUUCGGAUGUCUCGCACACUAAGUGCCAUCCUCAAUACUUCGGACGCUAAGUGCCAUUUCAAAUGUCUCGCACACUAAGUGCCAUUUCAGAUGUCUCGCACACUAAGUGUCAUCCUCAAUACUUCGCACACUAAGUGCCGUUCGUUUGGUCGAUAAAUCAUUAAUCAUUAAAAUACUCAUAAAUAUUUCAUUUAUAUGAUUUCAACGCAUUAAAUGCUUAAUAUAAUAAUACUUAAUACGUACGAACUUACCUGACUAAAUUGUAGAAAUACCAAAGUUCAGGGGCAUUUUGGAAAUUUUUCAUUUUCCUUGAUUUUUCCACCCGAUCUUGAUCUAAAUUAAUAAUUUUAUUUAAUAUAUUAAUUUAGACAGUAAAAAAAUUCAUUUCAUACAAAUUGAUCAUUUUUUAUAUUUUUACAAAAUUACCCCUAAAAUUUUACUUUUAUUCAAUUUAGUCACUGAGCUCAAAACAUACAAAUUAACCAUUUUUAACCAAAAUUGAGCUUAGCCAAAUAUUCAUGGUAUCAAAAACAACCUAUAAUUCACUUUAUGGAAAAAUUAUAUUUUUGCCCCGAAUAUUUUAACUUUUUUACAAUUUAGUCCCUAGGCUCAUAAAAAUGAAACUCAUGAAAUUUCAACACACUCAAGCCUAUCCCAAUAUAUUAUAAGCCUACAGCAGCCUAUAAAUUUCACAAUUUCACUUGUUAACACACAAUUUUUGUAUUUAUCAAUUUAAUCUCUAAUCGAUAAUUUCAUCAAAAAUCACUUAACAAAAAGUGUUUAACACCCAACAAGGUUUCAUUUUCUUCCAUUAAACUUCAUAAGCAACUAUCAUGCUUUCAUGGCAAAACUCUAAAUUUUUAACCAUAUUGUAAAUUAAUCCUCUCUUUAGCUAGAGUAAGACACAAGGUUUUCAAAAACAUGAAAAUCAUUAAAAACGAACACCAAUUUCACUUACAUGCAAGGGAUUUUGUGGCUGAAAAAAUCAAGCUUUCAAAGCUCUUUCUUUGCUGAUUUUUUCGGUGAAGAAGAAGAUGAAGAUGACCAUUUUUUUGUUUCUUUCUUUUCUUUUAAUUAUUCUAUUUACUAAUAAUUAUUCCCAACACCAACGAGACAUUAUGAUUGCACUCCAUGCAUAUCCACUAUCUCAAAUAGUGGUCUAAUUGACAUGUAAGGAUUUUUACUUUAAUAAACCAUAGCGACUAGGUACUUUAAUAAAUAACAUGCAACUUUUACAUUUUAUGUGAUUAGGUCUUUUUUCGUAAUUACGCAUUCAAAUGCUAAAAUUACUUCAUGAAACUUUUACACAUAGCAAUUCACAUGCUGUAAACACUCUAAAUAAUAUUAAAAUAAUUUUACGAUUUAUGGUUUCGAAACCACUGUUCUGACUAGGGUCUAAAUCGGACUAUUAUAUUGGGUUGGCCGUUUUUUUUAAAGACCACCACUGAAUAUUCUACUGAAUCAAGGACUCCUUCCGUCAAGGUCACCAUAUUCUCUUGCAGUUCCUCAAGCCCCGAGCGAGGCCUAACCAGACGAGUAGCCCCCAAAUCAAUUUCAUCGCCGCUGCCUUGACUCCCCCGAUUUCCCAAUCAUCAUCAUGACGAUUGAAUGCCCAUCGACUCUCGCACCCCCUGCUUCUCUUCCCCAUGCUCCAUCGAAGCAAGGGUUGUUCGUGUUGUCAUCUGGAGAUCUUCGUUCACCGUCAGAUGACAGUAUCUUAUUACCCUAGCCCAAAUCAUCGAUGUAUCUUAACCCUUCUCACCCGAUUAAGUUUGCAGCAGCCCAAUUGUCUUGGACAUUUCCUCACAUUAAUUAUUAGCCCAUUUAUUAUUUAUUCUAAAGUAAUAUUUUAAAAACUAAAAAGUAAAUAAAAUACAUGAUAACCUUUUUUUUGUGUGUGUGUGAGAAUUACAUUAUAACUUUUUUAAUUUCACUUGGUAAUAUCUUUUAGAAGAAAAAAAAAGAAGACUAGGCAUGGUCUCUCAAAGUCUCUAAUGGGUUAACUUUUAUGUUUUCUUUUUCUCCAAAAAAAUUCUCCCAAGAUUUACAGAGUAAGAAAUUUAGUUAAAAGACAAUCUUUUAACUAUUUAUAAAUAAUAAAAAAGUUUCUUGGUCCCACUUUCCAUGUUCUAUUCAUGUUCAUUGAUUUUUUUUGUUUAUUUACAUUUUUAUUAAAAAAAAUUAGGUAAGUGGAUAUUUUAAUUAUGACUAGAGGUGUGCAUAGACCGGGCCAAGCUGGGUUCGGGGGGCCCAAAAUAAAAUUGUUAAGCCCGAACUUGGUUUGGCCCGGCCCAUAUUAAAUUUUUUUUAAUUUAUUUUAUUAAAUAAAAAAAUUUUAAAAUAUAAUAAAUCAAAUAUAUUUAAAACAAAUAUUAAAACAAGAAACAAAUAAAAAAUGAUACUAAAAUAAUUCUUAAAACAAUACAUAAAUUGAAAAUAUAAUAAAAAAGUGAUUAUAUUAAAAUUGAAAAUAAAAUGUAAAUAUGAUUAAAAAUAAAAAAUAUUUAGCAUAUAAUUCGGGCCGGGUAUGACCCGGGCCAAAAAAGUUUUACCCGAGCCCGGCCUAUUUUCUAAAUGGGCCUCAUUUUUUUUCCCAAAUCCAUAUUUUGAGCCUAUAUUUUUACUCAAACCGUUCCAUUUUUCGGCAUAUAAUUCGGGCCGGGUAUGACCCGGGCCAAAAAAGUUUUACCCGAGCCCGGCCUAUUUUCUAAAUGGGCCUCAUUUUUUUCCCAAAUCCAUAUUUCGGGCCUAUAUUUUUACUCAAACCGUUCCAUUUUUCGGGCGAGCCUAACAUGCAUUGAUUAAAAUUUAUACCUACGGGUUAUUUUUUUGCUUAACAAAGUUAUAUUUUAUUAUACUUAAAUAAUAUUAUUAGUAAUAAUAGCAUUAUAGUUCCAUCCUCCAUCUAAUAUCAAUAUCUUUUUUGAGGUGCGAUGAAAUAUAAAUAUUUUAUAAGCAAAAUUAUUAUUUUGUUGUUUCCAAUUUAUUAAGUGGAUCUUUUAUAAUAAUAAUAAAAACUGAUCUUUUAUUUAAAAAAAUUAAAAAUAUAUAAAGUUAUUUAAAACACAUAAAAGAAUAUAAAUGAUUAUUUAAAUAUGAAAUUUUUUAUUUUUUAUUAAUUUAUAUAAUUUUAAAAUUUUGUAUUUAUGUUUUUCAUGUUACAUAUUGAGAGAUUACUAUGUGGAACAUUAUUAGUAUCACGUCAAACACAAAUUAUUUAUGUUAGUGCAAAGAUAUCAAUUUCGUUGAUGGAAUGGAAGUUCAAAUAUUAAAUAGAGAUGUUCAUGAGCCAGGUCGAGUUAAGUUCGUGCUAAGCUUAGGCAUGAAAUUAAUACAUUUUAUAUUUGCCGAAGUCCACAUUGACUCGAAAUACGAGCCUAAAAUUUUGACCAAACCUACUCAUAUUUGUAAAUAGUUAGCCCUUUUUUCUUGUCCAUAGAUUGAAUGGCCUGCCUGGCUUGACCCAACUUCAGUAAAGAUUCUUUUCUUUAGGCCAACCGACAAGAUUUUAAAUUAAAUAAUUUUAUUUUAAAUUUAAUUAUAGUAUAUAUUAAUAUUAAAUGAUAUAUUUUAAUAUCUUAUAAAUGGUUAUAAAAGUUAUUUGGUUAGACCAAACUUGAGCCCAAUCAUUAAAAAUUUUACAUUUAGGCUUGACCUUACUUGACUCAGAGACAUGUUUAGUUUAAACAAAAAAAUUAAUUUUUUAGUACCUAAAAUUAACAAUGUUAAUUUUUUAGUGUUUAAUUCAAGUUUUAGAGUUGAUUUGAUGAAAAUCUAUAAUUAGAUAAUAAUAUUAGCACUUAUGUCAUCAAAUCAAUCCUAAAACUCAAAUCAAAUUUUCGAUCUUAUUGUAUUUCACAAAAUUAAACGUAAACGCUAAAUUUAUUUUUUUAACAAAAUCAUGAAAAAUUGAAACAUGUAAUAAUAUUAGUAUUUAAAUUUCAUUAAAUCAACCUUAAAAUCUGAAUUAAACAUUAAAAAGUUAACACCGUUACCUUUAGACAUCAAAAUAUAUAAUUUUUUUCAAAUAUAAAUACCAAAUUGAACUAAAAAAUAACACUGAUACCACAUUAAAAAAAGUGUCAAACUCGAGUACCAAAUUAAUUAUUAAGCCUAUAAUUUUUAAUUAAUUAAUAUGAAAAUUGUUUUUCUUUUUGACAUAGAAACUAAACAUAGAUCCGAGAGCGAAAGUAUCAUACAUGCAUAAAAAAAAGUAAAGAACAAAAAUAUAACAAUGUCAAAUUUCAAAAAUUCAAAUUCACAUCCAUUCUUUGAGUCUUAUAUAAGGCAUCAAUCAUUGUUUUUUCUUUUUCUAUGUAAUCUUCCAUGGUAUAUAUCAAAAAAAAUACGACGACGAAAAUGAACCAUGUCUUAUUGUUUAAAAGAAAAACAAUCACCAUGCGUAAGACAAUCACCACAUUUCAUCACAAAUACCCCACAAUCAACCAAGCUUUACAUUACAAUACAAAAGAAAAAAGACAAAUUUGUAAGAUAACAAGUAAAUAAAAGGUUGCAAAGUUUUUUUGCUUUGGGAUAUUAUCAUGCACUCCAAAUGGCCAUUCAUUUGCAUCACUAUAACCUAACUUCAGGAUUAAAAAGCUUGUGAACCAUUGUAAUAAUACUUUAACAUGGUUUUCGAAAUCGUAAGAUAGUACUAGGGAAGAUGGAUCUGGAUCCAAACAUGAAAACGUUUUUUCCUUGAUAUCAACAUAGAAUAGAACCCAAUGUGAUGAUAAGCACAAUGGUAAAAACAACUGCAAUCACAAAAAGAAACAACAAAAUAUUACAUCUGUUCUUGUUAGUUAUGAUUAGGGAUUUAAAUAAAAUUUUAUAUUGAUUUUUUCUAUUGUAUCAUAAUUGAAAACUAUUCAUCGUUUGCAUUCACCAACACAAUUUAAAUGUUAAUUACAAGCUAAAAAGGAAAUUAAAAAAAAAAAAUCAAAGAGCUUACUUUAUGUACACCCCUUAGCUUCUCAGCUUUAAACCAUAUUAGUACUUCAAGUUCUGAUCUGGAUACUUGUAUCAACUGAGUCUAAUAAUUGCAAUACAAGGUACUUCAUAUAUAUAAUGAUUAUAAAAUAAUAACAAUUUCAAUUUCAAAUAUCAAUAGGUUUUGAUAAGAUACAAGUUCUUACGGUCAUUUGAGAGUCAAAUGAAUAGUGAUUGAUGUAUGUAUUUUGAAAUUUUUCAGAUCUCUUCUUAAGCAAUUUGAAGAAAGCAUUAACUACCUGCAUUAUAAUAUAAAAUGAUAACAUUGAACACAACAUUAUAACUAAUGCAUGACACAAAUAUUUGAAUUGCCAAAUUGAUUUAUGCCCAAAUAUUUGAUAAUUACUCACCGAAUCAUUAAUAUAAUACUCUUUUCGAGUUUCAUCACUUUGGGGCACCAUGAGUAAAGGUGUCAAUAUCUUACCUUGGAAUUUAAAUUUUUUAUCUCGUCCAAUCAAUUUUCUAUGAAACAUAAAUUUCUUUAUAUAGUUAGAUUAUAAUAAUCAUUUCAUAUUCCAAUAUUAACACAUCAAAACUAGCAAUAUACCCAUUCAACUCAUUCCUUUGCUAUUUAUCUAGCCGUUUAUGCUCCUUGCUAGUGAACCUUGAGAGUAAAUAUGCUUUAAUAUCCUAUAAGAGUAAUAACCAAAUAAAACCAUUAAUAUAUGAAUAACUACAAAGGAAUGUACGUAUAUAUAGAACCAAAGAAAUGAAGUAUGAACCUGUUCACACCAUGGUCCUUUUCCUUUUAUCCUAUGAAAUGAGAAUGCAUUAAGGGAAUUAAAUUCUCAUACUGUAUGAAACAAAAAAAUUCAAUGGAGACAGCUUCUAAUCAUAAUUUAUGUACAAUGGCUGAGUAUGGAUUGUAUGAAAUUGUGAUUCCACGUCAUCCUUAUCCCUUUCCAAUAGGAGAAUGAUAAAUCAGAUUUUUUCUCCUGAUUUUUAACUUUUUUUCCUGUUGACAAAAUUCAAAUCUAAUUAAAAAUGCUAAAAAUUAGGAAGAAAAAUCUUAUUUGUCAUUCUCCAAUCGGAAAGGAAUAGGGAUGGCGUGUAAUCACAAUUUCAUACAAUCCUUUAUCUCCAUCAUCUGUAACAACAAAUCAACUUUGUUAAGUGAUAUUAAGUAAUACUAAAGAGCCGAGAAGGCCUUCUAAGUAAAGUGUAGGAAAAUAUAAUUGAAGGAUCUAAACACAUUAGGAGUUAAGACUUACUUUCUUUUGGAGUUUCCAACCAGUUUUCACUGCAUACCAAAGCUUCCAUGCUCUCAGGAUUCAAGCUACUGUAGGCUGGAUUAUUGAUCAUGGUACCAAUAUUUGAACAUGAUGUGGAAAUUGAUGCCGGAAUUGCAAGGAAAUCUUGAGCCAUCUUUGCAAGUAUUGGAAACCUUUGAGAUUUAUCACACCACCAACCAAGUAUGUCAAAGAAUGCUCCAUCCAUGGGAAGUAAAGGUUCAUCUAAGUAAAGCUCAAGCUCUAUCUUCCAUGAGGCCUCCUCAUUGAAGUUGCUUGCAGAUGCAAAUUUACUCAAGGAGUCCAAAAUACUAUCAUUUCCAAGCCCUAUUGUUGAACAAUUGAAAUCAUCCAAGACUGAAGCAGAUGUAGUUAGAUUUUUGGCUUCACUGGCAUAUUCAUAGUAGACAUCCCGAAGAACUUUAUGAAACAUGUUCAAUCGCAUCUUACUGUCAUGGCCAUAAAUCACCCUAUAUGAGAGCUCCACAAUUUUAAAUUUUAACCUUGGAUCAAGAACAGAUGCAACAGCUAAUGCCAAAUUGCAUAAGCUCCAAUAGCGGUCGAAUUUCCUCUUCAUCAAUAUAACAAAUGAAUGACUGCUUUUUUCCAGCUGAAGAAUUUUCUUGUAUGUGUCGCAAAGCUUAGGAAAGUACAAACUUACAGGAAGGCAUUGAGUUCCUUUGAUAUCAUCAAAGCAUUUCAAACAACUCUGUAGAGCUACUGCAUUCUCCCAUUCCUCCAUUGUUGGGUUUAGUUUAAAAUUUUCAUCAAUUUGCUCCAGUUUACAAAAGAUUUCUCUUGAUCUCAAAGCACUAUCAAGUAUGUCAAAGCCUGAUUCCAGCCUGAAAGAAAGAUCAUCCCAUAAUUUCCCAUCUUGUAGCUUCACUUGAUCUACAGCUUCUUGGAAUUUCAAUUUUCCAUGUCUUGUUUCAGUGACAUAUUCAAUGGACUUCCUUAACUUAAAAAGUAUGCCAUCCAUCUCAGGGAACCCAUCCUCAAGAAGUGUGAAACUGAUGAACCAAUGAUCUGAAGAAACAGAGCCCUGGUCACUAAGACGAAUUUCUUUUAUCUGAUCAAUCAUACUGUCAUUCAAAAAAGAGUUAUCCACAGUUAUGGAGCAUAUUUUGUUGCUUAUAUUCCACUCCAAAACCAAGCUCCGAAUAAUUUCGCCUAAAGCCUUUGUGUCAUUGAUAUGCUCCAAAGCUUUCAAGGCAAGAAUCUUCCUCUUUAGCUCCCAACCAUCAUCAAUAAAAUGUGAUACCAAACAGCAAUAUGUAGUCUUUCCAGAAUUGUUCUUCCACAAACUCACUGUCAGAUUGAAUUUACUAGCAAGCUUAUCAAAAUACAGCUGAAGUUUCUCCUUCUCUUCGUCAUAAAUGCGAUGUAUAUAAUAUAAAAUAUCUUUGGAUUGAAACUCAAACAUGGGUUGUGUUGCGCGGAAGCGUGUGAAAGAGUAAAAUUAUUGUAUUGAAAAAUCACACUAAGUUCAAUUCCCAGGAAAGAGAGGUGGAUCACGAGGAUCGCGUACAUACCAGAUCUUUCCUAGCCAGAAUAUCCCUCUAUCGUAAUUUAAUAGCACAAUAAAUCACUACAAUAACACUUGCAAAAUAUGCAGAACAAAAAUAAAGAACACUAGAAUUUUAACGAGGUUCAGCAAAUUUUGCCUACGUCCUCGGGCACUACCAAAUAUAUUUCACUCCAAAAAUACAAGUGAAAGUUUACAAAUAGGGAGAGAGAACAAUUGCCUUAAGUAGAGAAUGGCAAGUGUGGGAUGAAGAAAGUAAGAAAUGGUUAGGCCUAUUUAUAGUUGAGGUUCAAGGAUCAACUUGCAAUGUCCCUAUACAAUUAGGGACCAAAAUUGCAAUUAUCUCAUGCCAACUUUUAACCCAACUUGCCAACCAAUUUUACUUUCUACUUUCGGUGCCCACCCUUUUUGACUUUUCAAACAAUGGGUGGGUUCCAAUAAUCUCCACCUUGAAGAUUUGAUUAGGAUAAUCUUAUCUUCACACAAUUCUUUCUACCUUUGACAACAAUACUUGAUAGUGCCUUCUUCAACUGUUAAACUUGCAGGAUAUUAAUCAAGUUCAAACAAUGUUCGAACUUGGUUGAUGUUACCACCUUGGUCAUCAUAUCUGCGGGAUUAUCCGCAGUCUUGAUCUUCUGAAGACAAAUUUUCCCCUCUUCAAUAAUUUCCCGCACAAAAUGGAAUCGUACGUCGAUAUGUUUUGUACGUGCAUGAUAGACUUGAUUCUUUGCUAAAUGAAUAGCACUUUGACUAUCACAAUACACGUUAAUAUGCUCCUGAACCAACCCCAAGGUUUUAGCCAUACCUUGUAACCAAAUAGCCUCCUUUACAGCCUCUGUUACAGCCAUGUACUCGGCUUCUGUGGUUGACAAUGCAACUGUAGACUGUAGUGUAGACUUCCAACUUAUUGGUCCUCCAGCAAGUGUAAACACAUAACCGGUGGUUGAUCUUCGCUUGUCCAAAUCACCGGCAUAGUCAGAAUCAACGUACCCAAUAACACCUUUACCAAGUGUAUUAUCCUGCUUGAACAGUAAUCCAACAUCCACGGUCUUCUGAAUAUACCGUAGAAUCUAUUUCACAGCUUGCCAAUGUCCUUUUCCAGGAUUAUACAUAUACCUGCUCACUAUACUAACUGCCUGUGAAAUGUCGGGUCUUGUACACACCAUUGCAUACAUCAAGCUACCCACUGCAUUAGAAUACGGAACUUGCAACAUGUAUUCUCGUUCCGUAUUCGUCGAAGGAGAUAGUUGUGCAGAAAGCUUGAAAUGAGAAGCCAACGAGGUACUUACAGGUUUGGUCUGCUCGUUCAUGCCAAACUGCUGUAGUACUUUCUUCAAAUACUGCUUCUGAGACAAGCUAACUCUGCCAUGAGCUCUAUCUCUACAUAUUUCCAUGCCGAGAAUCUUUUUAGCUUCUCCUAGAUCUUUCAUCUCAAACUCGAGAUUGAGUUGAGUCUUCAAUCUCUCAAUCUCAACUUUGCUCUUAGAUGCUAUCAGCAUAUCAUCAACAUAUAAGAGCAAGUAUAUGAAAGUUCCUUCUUGUAGCUUCUGAAAAUAUACGCAAUGAUCAAAUUUACUUCUUGUGUGCCUUUGCCCUUUCAUGAACUGAUCAAAUCGCUUGUACCACUGCCUCGGAGAUUGCUUCAAUCCAUAAAGCGACUUUGUCAGUUUGCAAACCCAAUUUUCUUUUCCAGCAACCUUGAAUCCAUCUGGCUGAGUCAUAUAGAUUUCCUCUUCCAAAUCACCGUGUAAAAACGCGGUCUUCACAUCAAGCUGAACUAGUUCAAGAUCAUAUUGCGCAACCAAGGCUAGCAAAAUCCGAAUAGACGAAUGCUUUACAACUGGAGAAAACACUUCAUUAUAGUCUAUUCCUUCUUUCUGAGCGUAACCCUUUGCUACCAAUCUAGCCUUGUAUCGAAUUUCAUUUUUUCCAGGAAAUCCUUCCUUCUUUGCAUAUAUCCAUUUGCAUCCAAUUGCCUUCUUUCCCUUGGGCAGUCUCACCAACUCCCAAGUCCUAUUUUUAUGAAGAGACUGCAUUUCUUCAUUCAUAGCUUGCUUCCACUUUACACCAUCAGAGUUACUUAUUGCUUCUGUGUAAGUGGAAGGAACAUCAUCAUCUGCAAUUGGAAGUGCAUAGGCCACCAUAUCGUCAAAGCGAGCAGGCUUACGAAUCUCUCUUCUUGGCCUCCUAUAUGCAAUUGAAUCUUGUUGCUGUAGAAGUUCUUGGGUCGAAACUUCUUCAUCAUUUGUUCUUUCAAUAUUAGCUGGAUCAUCAUUAACCUUUUCAAACUCCACCUGCUGCAAAGUACUACUGGUUUUGUCAUCCUUUUGUGAAUCCUCGUUCUUCAUCAUGGUUGAUUCAUCAAAAGUUACAUCUCUACUGAAAACAAUCUUCCUUGUAUCAGGACACCAGAGACGGUAUCCUUUUACACCACCAGUUAUACCCAUGAAUAAUGCUUUCUUUGCUCUUGGGUCUAACUUAGAUUCUUUUACAUGAUAAUAUGCAGUGGAACCAAAAACAUGUAAAGAAUCAUAAUCAGUAGCAGGUUUACCAUUCCACAUCUCCAUAGGAGUUUUUCCAUUUAUUGCAGCUGAUGGCAAUCGGUUAAUUAGAUGGCACGCAUAUGUAACUGCCUCAGCCCAAAAUUCCUUGCCCAAUCCAGCAUUGGACAACAUACAUCGAACUUUCUCCAGUAUAGUCCGAUUCAUGCGUUCUGCCAUCCCAUUCUGCUGUGGUGUAUCUCGAACAGUGAAGUGUCGCACAAUGCCCUCAUCUUGACAUACUUGUAGAAAUGGAUCAUUUUUGUACUCAGUACCAUUAUCUGAUCGAAGUCGUUUGACCUUUCGACCUGUCUGAGUCUCCACCAUCUUCUUCCACUUCAGAAAUGCAUCCAAAACUUCAUUUUUUCUUUUCAUUAGAUACACCCAUACUUUUCUUGAAUAAUCAUCAAGAAAAGUGACAAAAUAGUGCAUACCUCCCAAAGAAGCCACUUUGGUAGGUCCCCACACAUCACUGUGAACAUAGUCCAGAAUUCCUUUCGUAUUGUGAAUUGCUGAACCAAAUUUUACCCUCGUCUGCUUGCCCAGAACACAAUGUUCACAGAAUUCCAAUUUGCAAGAAUUUGCACCUUUCAACAAGCCUUGCUUCGCCAAAGUCUGCAAAACUUUUUCACCAGCAUGUCCCAAUCGCCUAUGCCAUAACCUGGUAGCCUCUGAAUCUGCAUCUUUCGCAGAAGCUGUUGAUGUUGAUCCAAUAACUGUACUUCCAUUUAAAUAGUACAAGUUAUUUCUUCUAGUGCCUUUCAUCACCGUCAAUACCCCAGCUACUACCUUUAGUAAUCCAUCUCUCAAAGUGAUUGUGAGCCCUUUAGAUUCUAGGGCCCCUAAUGAGAUGAGAUUUUUCUUCAAGCUGGGUACAUAGCGAACAUCUGUCAGAACUUGGAUUGAGCCGUCAUGGUUCUUCAAUUUGAUUGUACCUACACCCAUUGUCUUACAAGCACUAUCAUUGCCCAUAAAAACAACUCCACCUUCUAGUUCUUCAAGACUAGAAAACCAGUCCUUAUUAGGACACAUAUGGUAAGUACAUCCCGAAUCCAAUAUCCACUCAUCCGUUUGACAUGCCAUUGCCAUGCCAACCAAGCUAAAGUCUGACUCCUCAUCAUGCUCCGCUACACAUGCAUUAGAAAUAGACUUGCCCUUUUGUAACUUAGGACAAUUCUUUUUCCAAUGCCCUUUCUCACGACAAAAGGCACAUUCAUCUUUGGCGGGUCUCCCUUUGGACUUACCCCUUCUACCAGGUUUGCUGCUGUGUGAACGACCUCUUACUGUUAAGACUUCUGCAGUUGUAUCUCUGUGAUCUCUUUUAUCUUUCUUUCGAGUCUCAGAUCUAUACAACGCACUACAGACUGCAUCAAAUGUGAUUGAAUCUUUCCCAUGAAGCAAUGUGGUGGUAAGAUGAUCAUAUUCAUCAGGAAGGGAAUUCAACAACAAUAAUGCCUUGUCUUCAUCUUCAAAUUUCUCAUCCAAAUUUAGCAAGUCUGCUAAAAUUUUAUUGAAUGAGUUCACAUGGUCAUUCAUCGACAUACCGGGUGCAUACGUGAACCGAAAAAGUUUCUUUUUCAUAUAAAGCCUAUUUUCAAGACUUUUCGUUAGAAACUUUUCUUCCAAUGUAUCCCACAGCUUCUUCGCUGAUGUCUCCCUCAUGACGGAGUACUUCUGCUCUUUGGCCAAACAUAGGCGGAUUGUACCACACGCCUGUCUAUUGAUCUUGGCCCACUCCUUGUCAUCCAUCUUGUCAGGUUUUUCUUCAAGGGCUAUAUCCAGCUCUUGCUGACAUAAGACAUCCAGGAUCUCACACUGCCACAUACCAAAAUUAUUGGUACCGUCAAAUUUCUCUACUUCAAAUUUUGCAUUUGUCACAGUAGUCCUUGCUGAUGACGAUGCUGCUGCCAUUUUUCUCCUCAAUCCCAACUACUGUAUACGUGAACAGUACCGUAUACGUGAAUAGUGCCGUAUACGUGAAUAGUACCGUAUACGUGAAUAGUGCCGUAUACGUGAAUAGUACCGUAAACGGUCGUAUUCCCCAAGUACGAACCUGGCUCUGGUACCAAUUGUUGCGCGGAAGCGUGUGAAAGAGUAAAAUUAUUGUAUUGAAAAAUCACACUAAGUUCAAUUCCCAGGAAAGAGAGGUGGAUCACGAGGAUCGCUUACAUACCAGAUCUUUCCUAGCCAGAAUAUCCCUCUAUCGUAAUUUAAUAGCACAAUAAAUCACUACAAUAACACUUGCAAAAUAUGCAGAACAAAAAUAAAGAACACUAGAAUUUUAACGAGGUUCAGCAAAUUUUGCCUACGUCCUCGGGCACUACCAAAUAUAUUUCACUCCAAAAAUACAAGUGAAAGUUUACAAAUAGGGAGAGAGAACAAUUGCCUUAAGUAGAGAAUGGCAAGUGUGGGAUGAAGAAAGUAAGAAAUGGUUAGGCCUAUUUAUAGUUGAGGUUCAAGGAUCAACUUGCAAUGUCCCUAUACAAUUAGGGACCAAAAUUGCAAUUAUCCCAUGCCAACUUUUAACCCAACUUGCCAACCAAUUUUACUUUCUACUUUCGGUGCCCACCCUUUUUGACUUUUCAAACAAUGGGUGGGUUCCAAUAGGUUGCAAACCUUUCACAAAAUUCUUAAAGGUUUCUUGCUCAGCCAUAUCCAAAGGACAUUGAAGCUUAAUCAUCAUUUUCACAAGAUCCAUGUGACUCCUUUUUUUAUCAAACCUCAAGCUUCCUUCAUUGGUAUCAACUAGAAGUAUCAACUGGCUUUCUUGAUUUUGUUUCUUCUUAUCAGGGUCACCAUUGGGAAAAAUCUGCGAAAUUGAGAAUAAAUCAUUUAUACUACAUUAUAUAAUUUAAGCAUAAGACCACUGAUUAAACUUUUUAUAUUCAAGCAUACAUAUUGACAAGCUAUUCCCCUAAUAACCCUUUUUAUCUUAGAAAUUAUAAAUCAGUUAUCAACUAGAAUAUAUGAUAUUAACAAGUAAGAAUAAAUAAUUACCUUGUUAGGAGGUCCUAGUGUGUUAGAAGGAGCUACAACAACUUUUGAUGAAGACUGUAUAGUUAUUGGAGGGGGAAAAUUUGGAACCACUCCCCUCUAAAAGCAAAUGAUAUUAUCAUCAUUAGAACCAUUAAUGCUAAUUUAUGAUUAAUUUAGUGUUGAAAUAAUAGAAUAAUAUAUAAGACAAUGCAAUUACCUGGACAUUAAGCCCAUUUAUUUCUACUGCAUCAACGUCCUCUGUUUCUUCAGCUAUUUUCAAAGGCCUUGCUGUGUACGAAGAUGUCGGAAUGUUUGAAAUACCUUUCUCGUUGCCUUGAACCUUUACUGUUACAAACUUUUUCUCCAUAUGUUUCAAGUCAUUGAAGAGACGAGGAGUAAAGAAUUUUGAUAUUUCACUCUCAGUUGUAGGCCAAUAAAAUUCUACUACAUAAACAUCAUUACUUAUGUAACGAUUUUGUAGACAGAUUGCCACAACAACAUCUACGUCACAAUUCUUAGCACGUUGGAGAUAAAUGUAGUCGUCUAUGUCAAACUUAGUAAUAGAUGGCUCAAAAUGGUAGUCGUCCUUCGAUUCAAGUGCUUUCUCAAUAAUUAUUUGCUCAAUCUUAUAUUCACAUGAACGCAUAAAUUUAUAAGAGUUCAAAUCUUUCAAAUAACAAGAAUUACUUUGAAUUGAAAAAGUAUAUUUCUUGUUUGGAUCUGACAUAGUUUCAUGCAUAUUGUCAACUUUAGAAGCCCAUGUUAAAGCCGAUGAGAACUUAUGUUCACAAUAUAAAUGGUUUAGUAUGUCAUGUAUCUCAGCAAAGGCAGCUACUCGACUCAAUGUCAAACCCUGUAAUUAUUAAAUAAGAAGCAAUUACGAAAAAUAAAAUUUGAAAUCACACUCUAAAUGAAAAUAAUUUUGAUAUUGUACUCUUGGUUUGAAAAAAGAAAUAAAAUUAAAAAGUGGUUUUUUUUUUGUUUUUAUUCGUAAUUGUAAAAAAAUUAAAAAAAACAUAAUGUUAUAAUUAUACUUAUUUAGACAAAUUUGAUUCUUUCAUACAUAAAGAGGUAUUCAUAUAUCAAGUUCGAUUGAACCCUAUUUCAAAAAUAAAUUAAAAACUUAUUCAGGUCUAAUCUAGGCUACUUGAAAAAAUUCAUUUUAUUAUUUUAAAAAUUAAAAUAUUUUUAUUUUAAUAUUAAUAUUUUUAUAAUUAAAUUUUAAUUCUAAUUUUUACUAUGAAAAAUUCAAUUCGAGCACAAAAUUUUUAUUUUUUUAUAUUUUUUUCACCAUGUCAUCUAUAAUUCCGUCAAUUAAAAUAUGACAUAUAUCUUUUUUUCUAUAUCAUGUGUAUAUUUAAGCAAAAUUUUCAAAUCAAUAAUAAUGUAUCCUUUUUUAAUUGGACGGAAUCAUAAAUAAUAUGAUGAAAAGAUUCCAUAAAAUAAUUAAAAGUUAAGUUAAUACCUCCAGAAAUGGUUGAAGAGGCGGAAGAGGUGAUGGAUAUGGAUUGAAACCUACAAAGAAAUUCCAUUACAAUUAGUCAAUGAUAAGCAAAAAUAACUUAGUUCUGCAUAUGCAAUAUAUGAUUGAUUAAUGGCAGUGUUGAGAAUUUUCAAUUAAAUAAGUAAUUCGAUUAAUCUAUAUAUUAACUGAAAAAAAGAAAAAGAAAAGUAUCUUGUCCAAACUUAUCGUUGCUGGAAUUGAAAUUCAAGUGCUCUUCUUCAACUUUGGGUUUCCAUGCCGACAAGAAAAACAUUCGACAUUCCUUGUAACCUAAAAUCAAACACUCUUCUUCCUCCCCCAUUAUUUCUAGCAAACAUCUAUUCCGCAUUGAAAAAAAAUGAUCUAGAGGGUUUACAUCCUUAACAAUAAGGUCAAUCCCUUUCCUGUGGUUUAAUGGAAUUCGACUAAAGCCAGCCAUUGAAAAGAAAUGUUGCCAUUCUGUCAAAGUUGGGUGCCGCCUAAUUACAUUAUUACCUUCCCAUGCCUCUACGUGGCACUCCCACUCAUACUCCUCAUCAAAAUAAAGGUCCAACUCCGCCCAGCAAUCAAGAGUCUUCAAGGAAUACUGAAAUGAAUCCUCCAAACAUGUCAAGAAAUUGGAGUGGGCAUGAUUAGAAUAAAAGUCUAGCAUGAUUACAAUCGUCGGAUUUAUCUCCUUCAAUCUUACCAACUCUCUCUCCAUUGCUUUUCCAUCUCUUACCAACUUAUCAAGUUUAAAUUUAUAGUAAACCACCACCAUUUCAUCUUCUCUACUUCUUUUGAAAUCUAUUUCACAUUCAUCCACUUCUGCCAAACUAUUGGCAUAAGCCACUUUCAACUCAUCCUCUAACUUUACAUUAACUCCCUUGGCUUCCUCAGUCAAAAACUCCAUUUCCCCAGAGACAUCUACAUGUUUAGCCUGAAAUGGUGGAAGUAUGUAACUUACACGGACGGCUAGAGGAUCGCCGGAGAAGUUCGGUAGUGUGCGAAGAACUGAAUUCUGAAAAGAAUACGGGAUGGAGAAAUCAAUGAGGUGCAAUCGCCUGUUUCCCAUCAAAGCAUUCUUUUCCAUUAAAGCAUCAUGGAUGACAUUUUCUAUGACGCCAUUAAUACGGUAGCUGUCAUAAUGAUAAUAUGGUGCAGGAUCCACCGGGAAAGUUAAGUUGGGAGAAGCCGG